UUUUAUCAGGGAAUAAACCCCCCCUCGUGUGCGGGGCUGAAGGUACCUGAAGAAUAAGCAUCGGCUAACUCCGUGCCAGCAGCCGCGGUAAUACGGAGGAUGCAAGCGUUAUCCGGAUUCAUUGGGUUUAAAGGGUGCGCAGGCGGAUUAGUAAGUCAGGGGUGAAAUCCCACAGCUCAACUGCGGAACUGCCAUUGAUACUGUCAGUCUUGAGUAUAGUUGAAGUGGGCGGAAUGUGUCAUGUAGCGGUGAAAUGCUUAGAUAUUACACAGAACACCGAUUGCGAAGGCAGCUUGCUGAGCUGUCACUGACGCUCAUGCACGAAAGCGUGGGGAUCAAACAGGAUUAGAUACCCUGGUAGUCCACGCUGUAAACGAUGAUUACUCGAUGUUGGCGAUACACAGUCAGCGUCUGAGCGAAAGCAAUAAGUAU
rnacentral:rRNA from 1 species